UAAAUUUUUAUAAUCUGAGCUUAGUUCUCCACACGCUUCCAACAACCUUUCCAGGAGAAGGAUCAUGUGGGCCCCUGUCUCGCUGUCCAGAUGUGAAAUAUAGCCAACCAUUCCAGAAACCGGCCAAGGCCAAGGAAAUGGUAAGGAGCUAAUUGAGUAGAUGAGAUUGCAAAUUCUAAUCUUUUGAGCAUUUGUGACUAGCAGUUGUAGGAGCUGGAACUUGCAGCUGCAAGGUUUACCAGGAGGAGCUGGAGCUUGCCAAAGCUGACGAUGGCUUCAGAUGACGAGCCUCCUCGUAUAUCCAUUACAACAACAUUUAGUCAUGGUAGGCAGAAGUUAAGCACUGGACCAACUAGGUCUAGAUAUGGUGAUCAAGGUCAGGGGCAAACAGUUUCACCAGUGACAAGAGUGUCAUCACUACCACGGGGGAACCAGCAUCAGUCCUUUACUGAGCAGUGUCAGGGACAAACAGAUCCACCUUUGGUUGGAGUACUACCCUAUGCUAGUAAGAACAGAGUGGAUCAUCAACAGAAGCAGAGGUUGGGCCUGAGGAGCCCGUAACAAUAAAGGAUAAGCAUGUUUACAUAGAGCAUGUGGGCGAUAUGUCUAUCUUUAACCUCGCAAUGCAGAUCACACAUAAGAUUCGUGACAUAAUACAGAGCAAAUAUGAUGUUAUUUAUUUAUCGUGGAAGAAAAUUUCAAAUGAAGUUAGGGAUAUGUGAUUAAGAUAAUUUCAGGUGAUUGCUUGAGCAUGGUUCGAGGAUCAUAAUCAAUUUUGAGAAAAGAGGCUUUAUUCAUCUUAAGGACAUGUUGGCGAUGGGGUGUGAGUUGAUUUGACCAAAGUUUGGGUGAACCCUGUGUUCAUCAAAAUGAGAAAGCAAAACAAGAAGAAUAGAGCAUCUAACUGUGGAGGUUUAUGAAGCUCUUUUCAUACGGGUGGUUCGGUGCCUCAUACUAAACAUAGACGACGACCGGCAAAAGCUUGCAAGAAAAUUUGAAACAUGUAAAAUAGAAUUCAAACAAAGCUCAAAGUUAAUUCAAAUGGUUUGAAUCUUAAUAAAAAGGGAUAGAUAUCCAUAAGAAAUUUUAACAUCAAAAUCUUCAGAUGAGAGAGCAUAGGAAGAGAAUAGGUGAGUACGCCUUCUCAUGUGAUUUGAAGCUCUUAAGUUGACAAUCUAGGAACCCUAGCAUCCCUUAGUACAGUUAAGACCAACAAAAAAAUACCUUUUUGGUUAAUAUGUUACUUCUUAUUUUAUUAUUUAUUUUAUUAGAAUGUUGAGGUGUCAUUUUAUAAUAUAUUAAUUGGUUAUGAUGCUAAUAUAUUACUUUAUACCUUCAUCUUAAUUUUACACUAUUUUUUAU